CACCACGAACGGUGGAGCCUGCGGUUAAUUAGGACUCAACGCCGGGCAGCUCACCGGAUAAGACAGCUGAAUGAUAGUCGGGCUGAAGACUCUACUUGACUAGCUGAGAGGAGGUGCAUGGCCGUCGUCAGUUCGUACUGUGAAGCAUCCUGUUAAGUCAGGCAACGAGCGAGACCCACGCCAACAGUUGCCAGCUCGUCCUCCGGGAUGGUGGGGACACUGUUGGGACCGCCUCUGCUAAAGAGGAGGAAGGAAUGGGCAACGGUAGGUCAGCAUGCCCCGAAUUAUCUGGGCUACACGCGGGCUACAAUGGGUGGGACAAUGGGUAUCGACACCGAAAGGUGAAGGCAAUCUCCUAAACCCAUCCGUAGUUCGGAUUGUGGGCUGCAACUCGCCCACAUGAAGCUGGAAUCUGUAGUAAUCGUGUCUCAAAAUGGCACGGUGAAUAUGUCCCUGCUCCUU
rnacentral:rRNA from 1 species